rnacentral:rRNA from 1 species
AGUGGGGAAUAUUGCACAAUGGGCGGAAGCCUGAUGCAGCGACGCCGCGUGAGGGAUGACGGCCUUCGGGUUGUAAACCUCUUUCAGCAGGGACGAAGCGAAAGUGACGGUACCUGCAGAAGAAGCACCGGCCAACUACGUGCCAGCAGCCGCGGUAAGACGUAGGGUGCGAGCGUUGUCCGGAUUUAUUGGGCGUAAAGAGCUCGUAGGCGGCUUGUCGCGUCGACUGUGAAAACCCGCAGCUCAACUGCGGGCCUGCAGUCGAUACGGGCAGGCUAGAGUUCGGUAGGGGAGACUGGAAUUCCUGGUGUAGCGGUGAAAUGCGCAGAUAUCAGGAGGAACACCGGUGGCGAAGGCGGGUCUCUGGGCCGAUACUGACGCUGAGGAGCGAAAGCGUGGGGAGCGAA